GCACAGGAAGCGAACUAUCGCACUAAGUUUCGGCCUUAGCUUUGAACAAUUUCCCUGUGUU
rnacentral:tRNA from 1 species